UCGCGUGCUACGUUGAAUAUAUAGCGACCAAGCCUAACUUCCAGCGAUUUUCUCUCUCUUCCUCUUCUUUUCUCUCUUCUUCUUAUUCUUAUUAUUCUUUUUAUUCUUCCUCUUCUUCUUCUUCUUCUGUUCCUCUCUUCUUUUCCUGUACUCGUAAGUUUAAGAUUUCGUGGCCGUUGAUCCUUCUUCUUCUUCUUCUUCUUCCUCCUCCACCUCCUCCUCCUCCUCCUCUUCUUCUUCUUCAUCUGCUGGUUCUUCUCGUGACGUCAUCCAUGUAGGCCUCCCUUUCGUUCUACUCUCUCUCUCUCUCUCUCUCUCUCUCUCUCUUUCUCUCUCAAGCACAUUGACUUUUUAUUUCUUUCGUGGCUAUGAACUUGCCGUUCGAACGAGCGCGCGUUCAAGAUGUUGUUGUUGUACGGUGGGAUAGAAUAAGAGGUUAAGAGGAAGGGGAAGUAAAGAGGAAUGAGAAAGCAUGGAAGAAGGAACGCGUUCGUACACAUGAUGCCGCUAACCGACAACGACGACUACAAAGACGAUCUAGUGACGACAAUGUACGACGACAAUGACGAGACGAUGACGACGACGACGACGACGAUGAUAACGUAACAGAUAGUUUUACGAAAUCGAAUUCUCGUGAUAUUCAAUGAUAUUAAUUUUUAUUUUAUAUUCGUUCGAUAAAAACGUAAUUAUCGUUGAGCACCAGUGUUAAAUAUAUACGUACGUUUAAAUAAACGACAAAAAUCCAAAUGGUCCAAGUUUAAAAUUUAUAAAAGGACGUUAACUUUAAUCCUCAUCCAUAUCAAAAGAUCUACGUGUACGACGUGUCUUAAAGUAGGACGGAUAUGCUUACAAGUGUAAUAUCUCCGUUGACGUUUUCAAAAUACGAGGUUAAAGGUCGAAUAAGUUGUAGAAAGUCUAAAGGAGAAAAUGAGGAGAUAGAAAAUGUGAAACGCAGCUUGAACAUUUGAAUAAACUGCAAUCGUUGGAUAAAACUCUUGUUAUCAAUUAUCAUCGAGAAACGUUUGAUUAUCUUUUAUCAUA